UCGGAUUCAGGAUCAGCCAUGUACUUGAUGGCCAAGACACGGCAUAAAACCAUAGGAGGGAUAGGGAGGUUCUUGAAAUCUACGUGGUCGUAAGCGUUUUCCGCGUGUCCUUGAGGGAAGUAGAAGACUUUGGAGUUCAUAGGUGGCAUACGGACCAUGCCGCCAGCACAUGCAUGCCAUAGCUGUGGAUCUAAACCUUUCUCUGAUCCGCUUUUCAUCGGAUCCAUUACAUUUAUCAUUUCUAACAAAUGUAAUAAUCCCUACAAAUGAAAAUGAAAUAAAAGGAUUAUUAGUUUUUGUUUUGAACAGAGUAGAUAAGACAGAACACAAAAGCAUAUGCUUUUUUUUUUUUGUUUAAAGUACUUUUAACAUGUUAAAAAGCUUUUAGUCUUUUGAAUCAGUCAACUCUCUUAUACCUAACAACCGAGAUUUUCCCGGAAAAAAAAAGUUUCCUGAAAAUCCGACAAAAGGGUUAUGUCUAGAUAGAUUCGGUGAGAGAUUGAAUAUGAUUAUCAAGAAAACUUCAGAUAAUUCAAUAAGAGAUUAAUAACAGUUCAAGUUUAAAAGCCAGCUCAAGGUUGUGUUGCGAGGAAGAUAAAGCAGAAGGUCACAGAUCGGUCAUGUUGAGGAAAACUGAAACAGUAAAACUUCUUCAAAAGUAGAGAGAAGAACAUAGAACAGAUCAAGAUUAAGCUAAUCAAAUUAAAACAUCACACGGAACUGAUUAAAUAUUUAUUAAUAAAGAUGAAAUUCAUACAAGGAUUCGAUCAAACAGAGAAGAUUUAAGACAGAAGUGAAAGACUUUUGUUCAAACCUUGAACAGUAGUAGUAGAUCUGAGACAAGUUCUUGAAGAUUCUGUUCUAAAAAAACCCUUCUCUUGGUUUCUUGAGAAUCUGAAGAUUCUGCAGCUAAGUUUCUGCUUCAGAAUCGGAUAAGAGUUCACUUUUGUUGUACAGAGGGAAAUGAAAAGGGUUCGUGUAUAUGAAGGAGAAAGGUUUGGCUUUCUGGAAAAUAAAAUAAAUAUAUAUAAAAGCCAUUUAUUUUUUCAACUUUCAUUAACUCAUUCACAUGUUAUGAUUUUAAUCAGAUUAAAAAUAAAAAAAAUGUAAUGUUUUAAAUCAUUUAAAUUACGCCCCAAAAAUGGUAACAAUUUGGUAAGUCAAACCCUUGAUUCCGGGCAUAAAAAUCGACAAUACGGAGUGUAAAAAAAAUAUUAUAAAAUUUGAUAUAUAACCUACGUUGCACGGAAGCUUCAUCGGACGUCCGUUUCCCGCUUCGGAACCGGAAUCGGAAUCGGAACCUUGUGGAAGCUCGCGGAAUCUCGCUUCCAAAACGUUUCUAAAAUAUUCUCUUUAAAAACUUGUUGGAAGCUUACGAUUCCGUUUUGGAAUCACGCUUCCGUUUUAAAAAAAAAUGUAAUGUAUAUCAAUAAAAUAUAAAACCAUAGUUUUAAUCUAUAUAAAAUAAAAAAAUUAAUAGAAAUGAAUAUUGAAUUAUACAUAUACAAAUAUUAAAAAUAAUACUAUAAAUCAUCUUUAUGCAUUGAGAUUUUUUUAUUAAAGAUAUAGCACAAAUUGAAAUAUAUUGUGUCAACCAGGCGAAUACUCAGGUCCGUUCCCGAUCCCUCCUCUCUUAGCCCUCCUGAUCCCUACGCAAAGAUCUCCACUCUCAGCUCUCAUGAAAACGAUAGAGUCUCCCGCCACAAGCUUCUUCUGGUUCACGAAGUUACUCCACCCUGUAGUGAGGAGAUGCCGACGCGGCGUCCCUCUGUAGAUAUGUCUGAACUUCCAUACAUCUCCGUGAACAUCUUUGGCGAGAAUGGUCUGAACAGGCGGCUCAGCGUUGUAGUCUAGCCUCGGGAAGAUCGUUUCCGCGCAGUAGCGCGGGACUGAGAAUCCCCCACCGUUGUUAGCAUCGGACUGAGUCAGAGUCUUGGCAAAGGAAGGAGUCUUCUCGCUGUUAGUCUCGAAACCAUUACCUUCUUGACCAUCUCCGUAGUCGUGAUCGUCGUCUUUUAAAGGGAUCAGUCUCAGUUUGGCGAAAACCUCGUCGGAUUCAGGAUCAGCCAUGUACUUGAUGGCCAAGACACGGCAUAAAACCAUAGGAGGGAUAGGGAGGUUCUUGAAAUCUACGUGGUCGUAAGCGUUUUCCGCGUGUCCUUGAGGGAAGUAGAAGACUUUGGAGUUCAUAGGUGGCAUACGGACCAUGCCGCCAGCACAUGCAUGCCAUAGCUGUGGAUCUAAACCUUUCUCUGAUCCGCUUUUCAUCGGAUCCAUUACAUUUAUCAUUUCUAACAAAUGUAAUAAUCCC
rnacentral:lncRNA from 1 species